AGGCUCCAAAAGCUUGUUACUUGCUUGUAGUCAAACAGAAGGCAGAGCUGCGAAUCAAAUCCAGGUUUGUCUCGACAUGCCACUAGCUCAUACUUCCCUUGGAUCAGCCACUAAAUGGCUUUCACUCCAGUGAGCAGCGACCAGCACCAGAAUUAUGGAACAUUUAUCAACAGCCUAAAAUAAAGACAACACGAGGAGAAUUUGGUUGCUUAUAUAGAUUCAAGGUACAAUCCUGCUGGAUUCUGGGAUUACAGGACUGUAGACAAAAGAGAAAUCAUCAUGGACUGUUCACUGGACAAAAUUUCAUGGAGAGGAGAAGACCUUUGGCGGUUCAUGGAUGUUCUAUAAUAAAAGAAAUAUCACAGUGUGCAUGCACAGAAGUACGACCAUGUGAAGAGGUAGCAAGAGAGCAGCAAUCUACAAGCCAAGGAAAGAGGCCACAGAGGAAACCAACCCUGCCAGCAUCUUGAUCUUGGACUUCCAGCUUCCAGAACUGCCUUGUUCUUCUACCUUAUGAUGAUUCAAGCAAUGCCUGCUGCUUUUCCAAUCUGGGUUAGUUCAGAGUUAGGCAAACAGAGAACCAGGGACCCCACUCCCAUGCCGACAGUAUGGGCUGCUGUCUUCAGGACCAUUGCAAGGCUGCAGGAAGACUUAGAGGCAUCAUCCUGCCUUGGCUUCUGGUUGCCAAGGUGUUCUGCCUGAUACCAACUUUGUCAGCAGUCACCAACUAGCCAUGCUUUUCCCUUGAAGGCACAUGUAGAUUGCCUAACCAUCCACACCAGGCAAACAAUUCUUCAAAUGUCAUGCCCUUUGCACUUCUGUUCAGAUCCAGCCUUAGAGAAGCUUGUGAAGCAAUGACUGUUUUAAUUGGUCUCCUGGGUACCCAGGCCUAAUCCUUUACCAAGUCACUAGUUAUCCCAUGUUCCUUAUCUGUCUGUCUAUCCAUCUAUCCUUCCAUCCUCAUCCAAUACUUACAGAAUGCCUAUGGCUGCAAAUACAA
ensembl:lncRNA LINC01359 long intergenic non-protein coding RNA 1359